UAAAGUGCGAUAUGUGAUGCGAUUUGCAUGAAUCUGUGAGUCAUCGAGUCUUUGAACGCAACUUGCGCCUCUGCGGAGGCAUGUCUGCCUGAGGGCCAACAACAUUUGCGCACGCGACGUGGUCUGUGUGUUUUUAGUGUGUGGUGGUGGGGGUGUUUGGCUGGUGUGUGCAUUUGCACACAUUGCCACUACCUCAUAUCGUCUGCUACUGGACACUGGACUGAAAGAAAGCGCCAAUGGUCGGCAAGACCCGAGUGCUAAGCAUUCUUGGGUUGCGCUGGUCCGCGGCGGUGGCGUUGUGAAGGGUGCGUGUGUAACAACACGCACCACAAACAUACAACCACAUAUCCAUACUCAGGCCUCAGGUCAGGCAAGACUACCCGCUGAACUUAA
rnacentral:misc_RNA from 1 species